rnacentral:rRNA from 1 species
CUACCAUGGCAGUCGAGCGGUAGAGAGAAGCUUGCUUCUCUUGAGAGCGGCGGACGGGUGAGUAAUGCCUAGGAAUCUGCCUGGUAGUGGGGGAUAACGCUCGGAAACGGACGCUAAUACCGCAUACGUCCUACGGGAGAAAGCAGGGGACCUUCGGGCCUUGCGCUAUCAGAUGAGCCUAGGUCGGAUUAGCUAGUUGGUGAGGUAAUGGCUCACCAAGGCGACGAUCCGUAACUGGUCUGAGAGGAUGAUCAGUCACACUGGAACUGAGACACGGUCCAGACUCCUACGGGAGGCAGCAGUGGGGAAUAUUGGACAAUGGGCGAAAGCCUGAUCCAGCCAUGCCGCGUGUGUGAAGAAGGUCUUCGGAUUGUAAAGCACUUUAAGUUGGGAGGAAGGGCAUUAACCUAAUACGUUAGUGUUUUGACGUUACCGACAGAAUAAGCACCGGCUAACUCUGUGCCAGCAGCCGCGGUAAUACAGAGGGUGCAAGCGUUAAUCGGAAUUACUGGGCGUAAAGCGCGCGUAGGUGGUUCGUUAAGUUGGAUGUGAAAGCCCCGGGCUCAACCUGGGAACUGCAUUCAAAACUGACGAGCUAGAGUAUGGUAGAGGGUGGUGGAAUUU